GGCAAGAUACCCAACGUAACGUUUGGGUGUACGCGCGCGGUCCACGAUCUGUCGAAUAGCAAGCAAAGAGAUAGUGCGAUGUAGUGCCGCCGUUAGUAAAGACCACCAGGUGCCCACCAGAUACCCACCGAGUGCCCAUCGAGAGUCAGUGAUUUCUUUAUAGGCUUCACCGUGCGUGCUGCUAUACGCAUACCCCACUGAUCACUGCGUCGUCUAUCUGCAGUGAUAGAUCAUAGAUCCCAUGUUAUUUCCUACUUGCCUUCUCGUCCCUUACCACUCCAUCCAUACGAUGAAAUCAAUCAUUAAUCAACUUUCCGUGUCGCAAUACUGCUAGAGAUGCGAUCCAUGAUGCAUUACAAGUGCGCAAGAAAACCGGAAAUGAAACAUGUUUUGUGAGCCUUGUAAUUAUAGUUUUCAAGGAGACUGAAACGACCGCUACGUGAUUCUAGGAUCAAGGGCCGCUGAACGAAAACCACAAGAAUGCGGAUGAAGUCAGACAAGCUAUUCCAAAAAAAUGUGAUGUAAUCGCUUCAAAUAUUACGUUAAGAUAAAUAUAAAAAUAUAUAAAAAAUUAUCUUCGCGUCGCGUUCAAUGUCAA